CUUGUUCCAGCAUUUCACUGCCAAGUGCCAGAAGAAUGAGAAAUAUGCUACUUCCAGAUUGAACAUCUUUUUCAAUCCUAGUAAAAUAUGACAAAGUACAGAGAAGCCAAAAAAUAUUUGGACCAUCAAGCUCAUCAGAAAUGCUGCUUAUUGGCUGGGUGUGGUGGCUCACGCCUGUAAUCCCAGCAUUUGGGAGGCCAAGACUAACACCACAUCUACAGACACUGACCCUAGAUCACACCUCCAGGAGACAGGAGACAACAUCUUAACACUUUUCACCAUGCAUCCUCCUCUUGAAUCAGAGUGGACUAUUUGUAACUUUCGCCAGUGCAAUGUUGAAGAGGAACUCCCACCCUCGAAUGAACGGAGGAGACCUCCAUAAAUCCAGGGACUUGCACGGCAAAAGGCAUCUCAAAGACCAACUGUUGAUACCCUCUUGUUAGAGACAUACAGAGGUUAGGUGCCUGUCUCGA